AUUUCAUAAUUGAAUAUUUUUUUGUUUGAAUAUUGGAUUAGCAGGCAAUGGUGCUCUUCAGCAACCGCUACGCUUGAAUUCAAGCUGGUCUGCUGGGGGUGUUGAUGAUCAUGGAGUUCAGCAGAAUUCUACUUGGCCUUUAGGUGGAAACCAGAUUUCCGGACUUUCAUAUGCAAACUCUCCAAAUCAACCUCCUCCUGCUCCAAUUCCAAAAGGAUGGCAAAAUGGUGACUGGCUAUGCAAUUGUGGCUUCCAUAAUUACUCUUCCCGUGCGUAGCAAAGAGCAAUAGGAAACUCUGUGCUGCUUGUUGUUUGUUUGUCUAUUAUGAUUGGAAGUAAAGCAGACAUGUUUGGGAGUUUAUGCUCCCUAUCCCAGUUUUA